UACAGAGGUCUCAAGCGUUUGUUCGGAUUCAUUGGGCGUAAAGGGUGCGUAGGCGGCGCGGUAAGUCGGGUGUGAAAUCUCGGAGCUUAACUCCGAAACUGCAUUCGAUACUGCCGUGCUUGAGGACUGGAGAGGAGACUGGAAUUUACGGUGUAGCGGUGAAAUGCGUAGAUAUCGUAAGGAAGACCAGUGGCGAAGGCGGGUCUCUGGGACGUUACUGACGCUGAGACGCGAAAGCGUGGGGAGCAAACAGG
rnacentral:rRNA from 1 species